UGCAAGAAAUGGCCAAUCUUGUUUCUGUGCUUGCCGUCGUCGACAUAAAAGCGGUGAUGUUUGUCAGGUAGCCUGAAAAUUGGAUACGAUGGUUUCACCAUCAACGUUCUGAAUUUUUCAAAAAGAUAUUUUCGGCUUUUUUGUGGCUGUCCUUGCUCAACAUCCUAUCGUUUCAUCUUCACAAUUGGCAUGAGAUUUGUCAUUCAUCGUAGUCUGUCGUCGAACUGCAAAGGAUUCGUCGAAAACCGUCUUUCUUCAUGUGAAAGCUGUCAUGUGGAAUAUAUAAUUCUUACGAGACUUUGUAAAUCAAUCAAUAAAUUUUGAUGCACAAUUCAA